UACGAGGGGAGCAAGCGUUGUUCGGAUUUACUGGGCGUAAAGGGCGCGUAGGCUGUGCUGUAAGUCAGGCGUGAAAGCCCCGGGCUCAACCUGGGAAUUGCGCUUGAUACUGCGGCGCUGGAAGGUGGGAGAGGAUGGCGGAAUUCCCAGUGUAGAGGUGAAAUUCGUAGAUAUUGGGAAGAACACCGGUGGCGAAGGCGGCCAUCUGGCCCAUUUUUGACGCUGAGGCGCGAAAGCGUGGGGAGCAAACAGG
rnacentral:rRNA from 1 species